rnacentral:lncRNA from 1 species
GAGAAUGAACUGGAGGGGGUGGGGAGUGUACAGGUGGAGGAGGUGAAUGAACUGGUGGUGGUGGAGAGUGAAUUGGUGGGGGUGGAGAAUGUACAGGGGGUGGUGGCGAGUGAACGGGUGGAGGAGGUGAAUGAACUGGUGGCGGUGGAGAGUGGACUGGAGGUGGUGGAGAUGAAACUGGUGGCGGUGGAGAGUGGACUGGAGGUGGUGGAGAAGAAACUGGUGGCGGUGGAGAGUGGACUGGAGGUGGAGGUGAGUGAACUGGAGGUGGUGGAGAGUGGACUGGAGGUGGAGGUGAGUGAACUGGAGGUGGUGGAGAAUGGACUGGUGGAGGAGGUGAGUGAACUGGAGGUGGUGGGGAAUUGACUGGUGGAGGAGGUGAGUGAACUGGAGGUGGUGGGGAAUUGACUGGCGGAGGAGGUGAGUGAACUGGAGGUGGUGGAGAAUUGACUGGCGGAGGAG